GGCGAACCGAGCGAACGUUGUUCGGAAUCACUGGGCUUAAAGGGCGCGUAGGCGGGCUGUCAAGUCUGGGGUGAAAUCCCGCGGCUCAACCGUGGAACUGCCUCAGAUACUGACGGCCUCGAGGGAGGUAGGGGCGAGCGGAACUAAUGGUGGAGCGGUGAAAUGCGUUGAUAUCAUUAGGAACUCCGGUGGCGAAGGCGGCUCGCUGGACCUCUUCUGACGCUGAGGCGCGAAAGCCAGGGGAGCAAACGGG
rnacentral:rRNA from 1 species